CCAUCUCCCCAAGGGGCUGCUUUAUGUCUUGUGUGAUUGACAAUAUUGACCACUGUUAAACACCCUUUGUCUAUUAUAUCGCUAUUACGGAGAACAGUCGUUGUCCUAUCAACAGGUCAACAGGCUGGUGGGAUUAAUGAAUGGGACAGGCACAGCAUGUGAGACAACUGGGUCCUAUCUAUGGGCAGGGAUGUAAUCUGUACAUACUCCUUGAAUCGUCUUAGCGCCAGCACUGGGUAUGGAUUGUUUGUCUUUACUUCGCAUCUUCUACUGAUAUUCCAUCAUCACUGGGUUCUAUUUCUCGCUUUCAAAACAUCACCAAUGACAUGGCUUUAAUUUUCCUGUUCUUCUGCUUCUGCUUGCUUUGUCCUGCCAUAUGGUUGGUCAACAAUGCGAAGAUGACAAACUAUACCACCUAUUCCAUUUCUGGCCUGCAGGGGAACAUAAGUAUAUUUGGGACAAGGGACA
rnacentral:sRNA from 1 species